rnacentral:lncRNA from 1 species
GUGAAACUGAGUAGCCACGUAUCAUUUGGCCACUGUUUCUCUGGUUCAUCUUCCUUCUUCGUGGUGCUCUCAUCUCUUUCUUCAUCAUAAUGCUCUGAGCUUAAUUAGCUAAUGCAUCUGUCUUCAACGUCUUUAUCUAGCAUCCCUCAAUGCUUUCCUCGAUUUCUCUAGCUAGAAGGAAUUCACCAGCACAUGGAUUUGAUGAUCCCAACGACUGUAGUUCCGAUAAAUGGUGAUCUUCUUUUUGUCUGCUUAUUAGUAAAUAAUCUUGGGGUUUCACUUUUUUAUAUUAUUGGUAAAUAUUUUGAAGUUUAUAGUGCUGGAGUUUUCUCAGCCGUUUUUAGGUAAGCUUCAUUGAAAAAUUUCAGCUCUAUUAAUCCAUGCAUAGAUCUGACCAAAAACUGGAAGAAAGUGAUAAAACAUGUGGAAGAGGAACAAAGUUGAGCACUCUUCUGCGGCUUUUGUUCAAGAUUGAUGUAGCAAUCAAAUUAGAACUUUUUUUGGUUGGAUUUAUUUUAUUUGGUAAAAUCACUGAAAUUUGUAGUUACUGCAUUGACAUCUCAACUAAUAUUAGGAAAUGUUAUUCAUCGACACACAUAGAGCAUUAGUAGCUGACUUUUAUAUACACUUUUGGAGAUAAUAAUUUUGGUUGCUUUAAAUUUGUUUUAAAUUUUUUUGAACCAAUAAACAUUUCAACUAAUUUUCUUGGUGCUUGUUCAAGCUUAGUUAUCAAUGAUUUGCCAUUUGAUAAAUCCGGUAGAUUCCUUUACCUCACAACACUGAACAUAAGAAGCUAGGCAUAAAGUUCACAUAUCUUUAUUUCUUCUUUAAAGUACUUUUCCCAUGUAUGGUAGAAUUAAUUGAAAACCUGCAUUCUGUCAACAGAUGACGCAUUGAUUUUCUUUCUUAUUUCGAAAUUGAUUAAUAUUCUUUUUUUCUUAAUGCUCUGUAGUUUAUCUCCUAGGUGUAAUUUCUCACCGAUGUUUAGGUUCCCAGAUCUUAGAUAAAAUGUAUGAGAACGAUAAACGUGUAUAAUAUUAUAACAUUUGCAGUUGUGAUGUCUACAAUCACAUGAGGUGUAUGAACAAAUCCUACUUGUAGAAAUAUACUGGAUAUUUUGUAAUUGUUCAAUCAUACUAAGCCUGAAUAAUCUUAACAUGAUCUAAUAUUGUUCGUUUUGAGUCAAUUUGCACUGAAUUUUCCUAAAGACACGUAACCACUUGGCAUUCCGAUUACUUCAUCCAUUAACUUUUUUUUAAAUUUCAAAAUAAAGGAGAAGCUUCCAGUUUAGAAGCUACCGCUUCCUGCCUCCCUUGCGAUGAGUUCAGUGGACCGCUGUUUGGCUGACCCUCUUCUUCUCAUUUGUGUUGGGUUGACCCAGAAGUACAACAAAAAGAAAUAGAACCACUGGAGAGUCGUCUGCAGUUCACACUUCAGCAAAGACGACUGACUUUGGAAGCGAAACACGAACCUAUUUCCGCUAUUUCGGGUUCUUAUUGAGCGUAACAAAAUCAAGAUUGAUUAUAAAGUCAACGAAGUUUCCAUAGUGUUCUACCACCUCACACCAUUUAAGAACAUGUGUACACUUUAUAUAUAAUUAAGUCACGCAUGGCCAUCAUGGGAUAUAUUCACUAG